UCCGGUUUGGCACCGGCAGUCUCUCUAGAGUCCCCGCCAUUACGCGCUGGCAACUAAGAACAGGGGUUGCGCACGUUGCGGGACUUAACCCAACAUCCCACGACACGAGCUGACGACAGCCAUGCAGCACCUGUGCAGGAUCUCCGAAGAGGGGCUCUCGUUUCUGAGAGCUUGCUCCUGCAUGUCAAGCCUAGGUAAGGUUCUUCGCGUUGCGUCGAAUUAAACCACAUGCUCCACCGCUUGUGCGGGUCCCCGUCAAUUCCUUUGAGUUUCAGUCUUGCGACCGUACUCCCCAGGCGGGAUGCUUAACGCGUUAACUGCGGCACCCGGGGACUAUAUAACCCCAGACACCAAGCAUCCAUCGUUUAAGGCCAAGACUAC
rnacentral:misc_RNA from 1 species